ensembl:lincRNA
AUGCAGAGUCUUCUCAUGUACAAGGUAAAGUCAGUGGCCAAUGCCAGGGGGGGCUCCUUGAGGGCCCCUUCCCUCACCAGCCGCUCAGAUCGUCUGCAGCAGCGCCUGCGUAUCACCCAGCACUUUGGACAGAACCGGCCCCUUCGCCCUAGGAGUCGCCCCAGCAGGAGACUCAGGCUGGAAGAGAAGCCCUCUGAGUCCCUGGAAGAGAGGACACCCUCCCUGAGCCCAGAGGAUGCUCAGGACCCGUGGGCAGAGGAAGCGCUGGACGGCAGCUUCCUGGGGUCUGGAGAAGAACUGGAUUUGCUAAGUGAGAUAUUGGAUAGCCUGAGCACAAGAGCCACGCGGACUGGUAGCCUUCGGCCCAGCCAGAGUUUAGACUGCUGCCACAGAGAGGACUUGGACAGCUGCCUCAGCCUGCCUGACAUACCCGGCUUCCCCCCACUGUCCCCUGGCAUUGGCCACUGACUUUACCUUGUACAUGAGAAGACUCUGCACACCCUUCAAGCCGCUCUUUGCCUAUGGAGGAACCGAAAGAGUGAUUUGACAAGGGUAUUUGAGAACCAGGCCCUCAACCCCCGAGGACAGAUUCAUCUUGCCAUCUGCUCAUGGGUGACUCAAAAUACAUUCAGAAUCCCCCUGUACUAAGGAGCUAAGGAGUCAAUACAAACAUGCCUCUUUGACUAAUAUAAAAGGAAUAUUCCUCGAGGAGAUAACCCCCAAAUGAAACUGGGAGUGGCAAAGCUGGAAUGCUGUAAAAAAUCAGUGUUCAAAAGCAGAGCAAAGAAUAAAAAUUCAACAGACAGUUCCGAGCUGCGGGAGCCGGUCCCAGGAAACUUUUGGAUUUGGGAGAAAAACAAAACACUAAGCAUGCAAGCAGGAAUGUUAGUGUCUCAGAAGGAAUACCCCGAGACGUUUGCCAAAGAAUCCUGGUGAUCAUUUUUAAAUAGGAAAGACGUGAUCUGACAAACGGGAAAGAACACAGUCAAUGGAACAUAAAAGUAGGAAACAUUGCAACUGGUUUAACUGCUGGUUCAGUUUGAUAAACUGUCCUCUAAACAGAAGGUUAAAACAUCCUCUGGCUUGGUCACCCUGGUAACUGGUCUGUCCACCCCAGCCUCACCGAGCGGUACAUGUUCCUGACAGCUGGUUGGGUCUUGGCCUUGACGGAGUGCAGAAGGGCACCACCACCUUUCUGUGGAGAGAGAGCCAAGGCAGAGAGGCAUAGGCAUAUCCCAGACCCCACCUGCCCAACUGGGUUGUGUGUCGCUGGAAAAACCCUUCUCCCUCUCUGAAUUUUCUUUUUUUUUAAAUUAAAAAACUGAGUUAUAAUUUUAAAAAAAAAUAAAAUAAAAAAUAAUAAUGCAUAUAAAGUUUAUAGGUAGGACAGUCGCUGGCUUAUUUUUUUCUUAUAGGUACCAAUACCUGAGAAGGUAUUGCAUUCUUUUCAUAUGAACUAGUGUUAGUUUUCAGUAGGAAAACAUUCACAGUUUUUAUUUUUAGAAUUUAUAGAACUCUAAAAUUUGUUGUUAAUUUCCCCUUGAGCUAUGGAAAUGGAAAGGAGAGGUGGUGUUCAAGGGCAAGGGAGUGUGAGAUCUAAAGCAUACUGGGCAUUACAUUGAAUAUUUGCAUCCAUUAUUUCAUUUAAUGGAUGAAAAGAGUAAAGAGUCUGCCGGCAAUGCAGACUCUGGGUUCGAUCCCUGGGUUGGGAAGAUUCCUGAAGAAGGAAGUGGCUACCCACUCCAGUAUUCUUGCCUGGAAAAUCCCAUGGACAGCGGAGCUUGGUGGGCUAUAUGGGGUCACAAAGAGCCUGGACCUGACUGAGCGACUUUCACUCACUUUGAUCUCAUUUAAUACUCAAAAUAAUCAUACAAGGUGCAUAUUGUUCUGUCUGUGGAACAAAAAAAACAUAAAACUUGGGCCAACAAAAGCUAAAUAAAGAGCCAGGGUUUGAAGGCAAGUUCAUCUGGCUCGAAAACUCACGUUUUUCCCAUUCCUUGAGUUCUGAUUAGCUUAUACUUAAUAUCAUUUUUCCAAAGACAAGAGGCAUGUAGGAAGCAUCCUGUCAUCUUGUGCAAAGUCAUACAGUAUCCUGGAUUUUAACUGCCACUAAGAUUUAAUAACUGUGUGAAAAAGCAACCAGCAAGGUAUCCCCCUGUGUACCAUAAAUAGGCCACUCCAUGGUAAAUUACACACUCGUGACUUAUCCUAGAAGGAGCUCCACAUCACUGUUAGACACUGUUGCUGACCCAAACCAUGAGGCCUUGCACGUGUUCAGGAUCUGCUCUGCUAAGUGUGUAGCACACUCGGCAGAAACCAUGCUGUUCCCGUCCUUACUACUGACUUACUCAGACUCCCUGCACUCGUGCACAGAUGCAGUUUCUGUCUUUGCUCAUCCGUCACAGUGUCCAGGUGUUUGUUUGUUUGUUGAACCUGGAUGUUUAACCCCAUAAGACUUUUCCAAAGGGUCAAAAAGAUUCAUAAGGGGAUAAUACAUAAAACUCGUCACUUUACUACCACAGGUCUUAAAUUUUUCAUCCACAAACCUGAACGUAAAAUUUCAUUUUGGUGGAUAUGUUACAGUUUCUGCUACAUCAAUCUUUAUUACAGACAGCUUCUCCCAUAUAGGAUGCUGUAAGAGUUCUAGAGUAAAGUUUUAAUUUUAACAACACAAUUUCUGAUUUUGUUUCCCUAUGAAUGUGACUUGAAACUCAGCACAUUCUGAGAC